GGUCCCGUGGUGUAGCGGUUAACAUGCCUGCCUGUCACGCAGGAGAUCGCGGGUUCGAUUUCCCGUCGGGACCGCCA
rnacentral:tRNA from 1 species